rnacentral:misc_RNA from 1 species
CUAAGGAGUAGUUGUUUUUUUAUUUUUUCCAGUUGGACGCACAUCCUUUUUGUGGGUGUGUACCGCAAACAGGUAAUACCUACGCAUGCUGUGUGGUGUGUGUGGGUGUGGGUUGUUGUUGCACUGUUGGGUCUCUGGCGCAGCAUGGUUGUUGUGUUGGUGUGUGAGAACUGUAUAGUGGACGCGUUUUUUGUUUUUUCUUGUUGUUAGUGUUUCUUUGUAUCAGGUGUUUGUGU